AGGUGUGAUCAUACCAGCACUAAUGAACCGGAUCCCAUCAAAACUCCGCAGUGAAGCAAGAUUGGGCGAGAGUAGUACUAGGAUGGGUGACCUCCUUGCAAGUCCUCGUCUUGCACCUU
rnacentral:rRNA from 2 species